AAGACUAUACUUCCAGGGAUAAUUUCUAUAGUCUGUUACUAGAGAAGUUUCUCUGAACUUGUCGUGUGCCAGAAACCAUGAGGAGGAGGCACAGCAUUCUCUCCUGAGCAUUAAGUUGGCUCUUGGUGUUGCUUUUGCAACUUCUCUUGGCUAUUGAUGAUCGUUCUUCUCUUCCUUUGGGAGAGUAAGAAGGGCAGGAUAUAUAUAUAU